AGCAGCCACGGUAAUUCCAGCUCCAAUAGCGUAUAUUAAAGUUGUUGCAGUUAAAAAGCUCGUAGUUGAAUUUCGGGAUUAGUACGUUGGUCGUGCCUUCGGUACGUACUGGUGUUACAGAUUCCUACCUUCUGACGAACCAUCAUGUCAUUAAUUUGGUGUGGCGGGGAAUCAGGACUGUUACUUUGAAAAAAUUAGAGUGUUUAAAGCAGGCUCGCGCUUGAAUACAUUAGCAUGGAAUAAUGAAAUAGGACGUUGACCCUAUUUUGUUGGUUUCUAGGAUUGACGUAAUGAUUAAUAGGGAUAGUUGGGGGCAUUAGUAUUCAAUUGUCAGAGGUGAAAUUCUUGGAUUUAUUGAAGACUAACUACUGCGAAAGCAUUUGCCAAGGAUGUUUUCAUUAAUCAAGAACGAAAGUUAGGGGAUCGAAGACGAUCAGAUACCGUCGUAGUCUUAACCAUAAACUAUGCCGACUAGGGAUCGGAUGAUGUUAUUUUUAAUGACUCA
rnacentral:rRNA from 1 species